rnacentral:rRNA from 1 species
UACGUAGGGGGCUAGCGUUGUCCGGAAUCACUGGGCGUAAAGCGCACGUAGGCGGAUUGCUAAGUCAGGGGUGAAAUCCUGGAGCUCAACUCCAGAACUGCCUUUGAUACUGAAGAUCUUGAGUUCGGGAGAGGUGAGUGGAACUGCGAGUGUAGAGGUGAAAUUCGUAGAUAUUCGCAAGAACACCAGUGGCGAAGGCGGCUCACUGGCCCGAUACUGACGCUGAGGCACGAAAGCGUGGGGAGCAAACAGG